rnacentral:misc_RNA from 1 species
GUAUUGAUUGCGUGUGAUCGCAAAAGUAAGACAUUCUACACAUUUCAUUAAAAGGGUGUCUAUGUAAAAACGUGAAGACCCCCCUCAGAACUAGCCAAAAGGGGUCCCCACGCGGUGAUGCACAAGAGGGGUGAGAUGGAUUGUAAGAGAGCACCGGAGCGUGCACAAAGUCAGCGACAGCCCCGGCACCUCCGUUAUACGAUAAUGAUCCUUCCGCAGGUUCACCUACGGAAA